CUUGAUCCUAAACACACCCGCGGCUUUAGAGUACACCGUUGAGGAGUUUUGCAGGAUUGACUUAGACAUGAUGGCCUGAAGAGAUGUUUAAACUGAUGGAUCAUCAGACGCUGCAAGUCUUCCUGAAAAGAAAGGACAAGGCAAAGCGGAUGGGCCAGGAAGACACUGGGAUUUGUGUUUGACAUGCCAAAAGGUGUUGGCACUCCAAACUGCUGACUCAUGCACCAGAAAGCUGACUUGGUGCAUCCAUAAAGCUUAACUAACUGGCAAAUCCCUCCCCUCCGUCUCACUUGCUGCUCCGACAAGAAUAUCUGAGAGGUUAUUUCCAUGCUUUACUGCUCCUCAACAGCCAUGAACUCCAGGCCCUUCCCUAUGAGCUGGAAGGAGAUGGAAGUUUGCUGAAUUAAUCUCAUGGUCCUUUACGUGAAGCCGCAUAACACUGUUACAUUACUGUUAUAUCCUUUAUCAUGCAAUAAAAAAAAAGACAAUUUCUACCCUUACAUUGUUCUUCUGUUUCUGCUUUUUGUCAAAUAUGCAUUUCUUCAGCUUACAGUCAUCAUGAUGGAAAAAGUUUUUAUCAUUAUAAUAAUAGUCAUGUUGGUGAUUAGCUGAGUUUAAUUAAUUGAUCACCACCAGGUGUGAAUGUCUCUAUAACAGCAGAUUUUGUUUGCAUGGUUUUAGGGCAUACAGUUGUGUUAACACUAUCAAAAGGAGGAAAAGCCUCAA